ensembl:lncRNA
CUGCCACUGCAGAAGGAUCUCUUUUUGGAGAUUGUUCCCUUUGGAGUUUUUCUGUGAGGCUACAACAUGGGACAACAGGAAUGGUACUGUUUGCAGACAGAACAGAGUGAAUGAUCAAGGGCGACACAGAAAGGACACACCUUGGGGUAGCAUGCAUUCCUUCCUUGGACAGCUUCAGCGAACAGCAGACGUUGAGGUUCCUCUGCCCUGUGCCCCCUUCCACAGCCUGCUAGUUUCUUUUUGAUGCCUGGGGAAGAAAAGGAACAGCACAAGCUUUUCCCUAUGAGUCUCCCACCCUCCAACUGUUCUCAGCUUGGUGGAUUUCCGUAUUCUGUUUCUAUUACCGCUUUGUUCUCUUCCCCUCAGUUUCCUAAAUUAAGUACAUUGCUGAGAUCUUUCCUGGAAAAAAAAAAAAACAAACGUUGCUACGCUUUGUUCUGAUGAAAAAUUUACAUCAAUUUGAUGCAUUAAUACUUUUCCAAUCACAACACAGAAGAGCUGCCUUUCACAAACACAUUUAAGUUGCGUUUCUUUCAGCAUGGCUGGGAGCUGAGCACACACUGAAGUGUGUUGGCACCGACCUCUCCUACAAAGCCAGAUACAGACUUGAGCUCCUAAACGGGUAGGUUUGGAUCAGUGAGGAGAAUGGUGGAAAGUCCCGGAGGAGAAGGCUGGGCUCAUUCAUUAGCCUAGCACAGGCAGUACCAAGUGUGGCAUUCAAAUGGUGCUUUCCUAGUCCUGAGUCCAGUAUCUGGAACCAUCCAGACUCAUAUUUGUUGUACUGAACAAAGAGCAUGGCAAAACAGCAUGGUAAGAAUAAAAAGUCCUGUCCAUAUGUGACGGCAUUAACCAGUGCUGGAAUUCAGAGCAAAACAAUCUCUUGGGAAUGAGUAGUAUCAUUUAAAAGGAAAGAGUAGGCAGAAGUUUCCUCACGUCCAGGAAGUGUAGUGGGCAAACAGGGCACUGUGAGGACAAAGUGCCAGCCAGACAUACAUGGUGUUUGUGCCUGCCAGUGUCCCAGCCUCCAGCUGCUUUCAGCUUGGGGACUUCCUGCACCGCGUGGCUUGUUUAGAUCCAACCUGCAAUGGAUCACUUUUCUUGAAACUGUUUGAAGACACCUCUAAGUCAAGGCAGCAAAUUACAUUCCUGGUCUGGAUGCGACGCAUUCUGGCAACACUGUGCUCCUGCUUUAAACAGCUUCUCCUGCCCUCCAAACUGCUUUCAUGUGAAACACGGACGACACGAUUUAUGACAGACCUGACCAGCACAGCAAGACUGGCAAAAGCCCAAAGCACACGUGUAGCCUGAUGCACCUCUAUUGUAUGUACUUUCUGCCCAAAACAAAGCGACUUUAUCGCGUUUGCUUUCUAACACUGCGUUUGUGGUGCAUUUUCUUCUUCCACAACCGAGUAGGAAAACAGAUGUCUGGAACCCUUACGAUUACAGCACGAGCUGCUGGGUUUUGAUCAGCAAACUCGUUCGCAAACUGAACGACUUCAGCCUGAAACGUACUCAUCUUGCUGCAGACACCCAGCGCCACGUCUGUUCGUGCUUCCAGGGACCUUCAAGGCCGAAGACGGAGGAAAUGCCUGAAUUUCCCCCGGCCCCUCCUCGCCUCUCGCCUGCCUUGGCAGCCAAUCCUCGCCUGGGGAGGGGGGGCGCUGGAGACAGCCCCAACCCAGCGUUUGUUUUAACAAACAUUUCUCACUGCCUAUGAGGAAACAUGCUGCUGCCCAGCGCUCGGGGAGGGUGGGAUUUCCUUCCUAUUGUCUGCCUGGCUCAGCCCGCACUGCUUCGGAGCAGAGUUGUGCAUUAACUGUUUCGAGCUCUGGGUUCUUUUUCCUGUUGGAAAGUUAAUGGCCAAAAGAGGUUUGUAAAGCACGUAUAUUGGAGAUCAAAAAAAAAAAAAA